rnacentral:rRNA from 1 species
UACGUAGGCAGCAAGCGUUGUUCGGAGUUACUGGGCGUAAAGGGUGUGUAGGCGGUCGGGUAAGUCUGAUGUGAAAUCUCACAGCUUAACUGUGAAACUGCAUUGGAUACUAUCCGGCUAGAGGAAUGGAGGGGAGACUGGAAUACUUGGUGUAGCAGUGAAAUGCGUAGAUAUCAAGUGGAACACCAGUGGCGAAGGCGAGUCUCUGGACAUUUCCUGACGCUGAGGCACGAAAGCCAGGGGAGCAAACGGG